rnacentral:rRNA from 1 species
UACGGAGGAUCCAAGCGUUAUCCGGAAUCAUUGGGUUUAAAGGGUCCGUAGGCGGUUUAGUAAGUCAGUGGUGAAAGCCCAUCGCUCAACGGUGGAACGGCCAUUGAUACUGCUGAACUUGAAUUAUUAGGAAGUAACUAGAAUAUGUAGUGUAGCGGUGAAAUGCUUAGAUAUUACAUGGAAUACCAAUUGCGAAGGCAGGUUACUACUAAUGGAUUGACGCUGAUGGACGAAAGCGUGGGGAGCGAACAGG